UACAGAGGGGGCAAGCGUUGUUCGGAAUUACUAGGCGUAAAGGGCGCGUAGGCGGCCUUCUAAGUCGAACGUGAAAUCCCCGGGCUCAACCCGGGAACUGCGUCCGAUACUGGAAGGCUUGAAUCCGGGAGAGGGAUGCGGAAUUCCAGGUGUAGCGGUGAAAUGCGUAGAUAUCUGGAGGAACACCGGUGGCGAAGGCGGCAUCCUGGACCGGUAUUGACGCUGAGGCGCGAAAGCCAGGGGAGCAAACGGG
rnacentral:rRNA from 1 species